UAUGUUACCAUUCAUAGCCUA
rnacentral:siRNA from 1 species